rnacentral:lncRNA from 1 species
GUGGGCCCGGGCUCGGUCGCAGGCGUCCCGGUCCCGGGCCUGGCGGCGGGCAGCAGCGCCGCUGCCCCUUUCCCGCACGGCGACUCGGCCCUCAACGAGCAAGAGAAGGAGCUGCAGCGGCGGCUAAAGCGCCUCUAUCCGGCCGUGGAUGAGCAGGAGACGCCGCUGCCCCGGUCCUGGAGCCCGAAGGACAAGUUCAGCUACAUCGGCCUCUCGCAGAACAACCUGCGGGUGCACUACAAAGGUCAUGGUAAAACCCCCAAAGAUGCAGCAUCUGUUCGAGCCACGCAUCCAAUACCAGCAGCCUGUGGGAUUUAUUAUUUUGAAGUAAAAAUUGUUAGUAAGGGAAGAGAUGGCUACAUGGGAAUUGGUCUUUCUGCUCAAGGUUGGGAUAAACAUUCAUAUGGUUACCAUGGGGAUGAUGGACAUUCAUUUUGUUCUUCUGGAA